rnacentral:rRNA from 1 species
CUUCCACUGAGAAGAGUAGUGGCGAACGGGUGGAGUAACACGUGGGUAACCUAGCCCAUAAGACGGGGGGAUAACCAUCCGGAAACGGGUAGCUAAUACCGCAUAGUUUUCUUGAUCGCAUGAUUGAGAAAGGAAAGACGGCCUUUGUGCUGUUGCUUAUGGAUGGACCCGCGGCGUAUUAGUUAGUUGGUGAGGUAACGGCUCACCAAGACGAUGAUACGUAGCCGACCUGAGAGGGUGAUCGGCCACAUUGGGACUGAGACACGGCCCAAACUCCUACGGGAGGCAGCAGUAGGGAAUCUUCCGCAAUGGACGAAAGUCUGACGGAGCAACGCCGCGUGAGUGAAAGAAGGUUUUCGGAUCGUAAAACUCUGUUGUCAGAGAAGAACAAGUUGGAGAGUAACUGCUCCAGCCUCGACGGUAUCUGACCAGAAAGCCACGGCUAACUACGUGCCAGCCGCCGC